rnacentral:lncRNA from 1 species
CCUCAUGGUAUCCAAGUUGAAAGAGAUAAGUUGAACAAGUAUGGUCGUCCUUUAUUGGGAUGUACUAUUAAACCAAAAUUGGGAUUAUCCGCAAAAAAUUAUGGUAGAGCGUGUUAUGAGUGUCUACGUGGUGGACUUGAUUUUACCAAAGAUGAUGAAAACGUAAACUCACAACCAUUUAUGCGCUGGAGAGACCGUUUUGUCUUUUGUGCCGAAGCUACUUAUAAAUCACAGGCCGAAACCGGUGAAAUCAAGGGGCAUUACUUGAAUGCGACUGCGGGUACAUGUGAAGAAAUGAUUAAGAGAGCUGUAUUUGCAAGAGAAUUAGGGGUUCCUAUUGUAAUGCAUGACUACUUAACCGGGGGAUUCACCGCAAAUACUACUUUGGCUCAUUAUUGCCGCGACAAUGGCCUACUUCUUCACAUUCACCGUGCAAUGCAUGCAGUUAUUGAUAGACAGAAAAAUCAUGGUAUGCAUUUCCGUGUAUUAGCUAAAGCAUUGCGUAUGUCUGGGGGAGAUCAUAUCCACUCCGAUACAGUAGUAGGUAAGUUAGAAGGGGAACGCGAAAUGACUUUAGGUUUUGUUGAUUUAUUGCGCGAUGAUUUUAUUGAAAAAGAUCGUGCUCGUGGUAUCUUUUUCACUCAGGACUGGGUAUCCAUGCCAGGUGUUAUACCGGUAGCUUCAGGUGGUAUUCAUGUUUGGCAUAUGCCAGCUCUGACCGAAAUCUUUGGGGAUUACGGUACCUUGGUACUCCCUCAAGUAGCGAUGGAGUACCACUUAAAUCUGACCCUCCACAUAGGAGGGUAGUUUAGUCUUUUCUCCUCUUAAUUAGGUCAGUUUCUGAUUUCUAAUCGGAUCAUCCGUCCUAUCACCAACGCAGCUGCCAUCACAUUAUAGCGAUUACGUCUCCAUGAUGACCACGCCAUUGCUGCCUGACAUCUGCUCUUUUUCACAGGCACCGAUCAAGAGCGAGUGGAUAGAAGUUAGGAAUGAUAGAAAACUUGUUUCAGUCAAUGGAUGAAUAUGUCUCCUUUGCGCUGGAAGUUAUCGAUCAAACAUAAUUUGGCUACAAGUUCUCGAAAACCACACAAAUUUUAUAACAUGUACAAAAGAAAUUAAAACAGAAAAUAUAAGUAUUAUUGUGGAAUACACGCAAGAGACAUCAGGCUCGCAAGAAGUUCGUCAGCAGCCCAACAGAGUCCAAUCAAAGCAGCCUCUCACCGUCCUUCCAUAGUCCAUAUUGAACCCAGUCAGUCAGAUCAACUGAACAUUUGUACAACUGCAGUGCCGACGUGAUAGAUCUCCGGCCAGCCUGAUGAUCCCGCCUCGCCGUAGUCAUCCUGCUUUAGUGCGUUCGAGUUUCCAAUUUCGCGAGAAAGCAAACGCGCUCGCGGUGUGGCGGCGGCGCCGCCCAGCCCUGGUCGGCGACCAUUCCCGGCAGAUGCCACUCCAGCAAGUCCGUGGCCCUAUGGUUGUCUGUCUCUUGUAAUCGGGCAGAUCAUAGUGGCCGGCGGCAGCUAUCCUAUUGAAGAAUUAGGCUUUUUUAGGGAUUAAAAUUAGGGUUCUUGCGAUCGAGUUGAAUAGCUAUUAUGUCUCAGCCGUGAUGCAUUGUGUUUUUACAUGGAAUCAGUUUACCUUUUUACCCCCAAGCACGAGAUACUCCCUGCUUUUUUCAGUUGGUACUCUCUCAUACACACGUUGGAGUACCAACAGUCGUCCAUCAUUGGAUCAAGAGAAAUGGAGGGCUCAUAUUCAUUUAGGGGUACUGUAAAGGAGCUCGUCUGACUAUAUUGGGUUUCCCGUUUUCUGCACUUUAUUGGGUUUAUAGUUUCUACUGUGUUGAGCUUGAGCAUCAGAUAUUCAGAAUCAACUGAUGAGUUGGAUUGUAGCAGCUCAGAAAUCAUCCACUUUACCCGAGCGACUGCCGUUUUCUGCUAAUUUUUGGCUCUGUGCUGCAUAAGAAUGGUGACGGUGUAUCCCAUCAUGNNNNNNNNNNNNNNNNNNNNNNNNNNNNNNNNNNNNNNNNNNNNNNNNNNNNNNNNNNNNNNNNNNNNNNNNNNNNNNNNNNNNNNNNNNNNNNNNNNNNNNNNNNNNNNNNNNNNNNNNNNNNNNNNNNNNNNNNNNNNNNNNNNNNNNNNNNNNNNNNNNNNNNNNNNNNNNNNNNNNNNNNNNNNNNUUUUUUUGCUUAGCAGUUGUAGUCUCAACUAUUGCCCCUAGAGAAAUUUGAGGCUUCCCCCCCGAAUCCUGUAACAAUAAUUAUCCAAAAAACCCAAACAGAGUUAUGUAUUUGACUAUUUGGAAAAGAGCAUAACAAGUCUUCAUACAGGGCAUAUAUUAGACCUGAAAACAGCAUAUGCAUGGUUUUAGAUGGCUACCCAUCCUUUUAAUUUUCAUUUCUUCAUUGCCUCAUAAUUCUAAUUUUUUUUAAUUUGAAAAUUUACUGUGUUUUGCAGAUAGUUUGACAUAAUGCAAAGCACUAGCAAACUAUGUGUUGCCUCUGCGUCCGCGCAACCUGCUGUCCUCGGGUUCGAUGGUUGGGCAGACCUUCCAGAUGGCCCGCUAAGCUCCAUCCUUGCACUGUCAGGAUCCUUCCGUGAUGUUCUUGCUUUCGCUGCAACCUGCCGCUCUUGGCGUGCUGCAUUUUCCUCAUACCCAUCAAAAUCUACAUUCUGCAAUCUGCACCAAAUUCCCGCCUCUCCUCGCCAAUUCAAUGCCCGUGUUCAAGCUCCUGAUCUCCCUUCUAACAAUGGCUGUCAAAAGCUACGCACAUGUAAGGUCAUUGAUCCGAUCAACAAGAACAUCGCCCUGCGCUGCCAAAUUCCUCGGGAAAUUUAUCAGAAGAUGCAAUUCGCUGGCACUUCCUAUGGUCAACUAAUUUGCUGCCGUGCUGGAUAUUGUCUUGUUGUUGAUGUGUUCAGUGGUGCCAAGGUUUCUCCUCCACGUCUCCCAUUCACCGGUGAUUGUGAGAGGGAGUUCUACUUCUACGUUAGCGGCACUCCGACAGCUCCCCUUGCAUCACCCAACUCACACCUCCUUGUCAGUACUGCAGCCGGCGUAUUUGAUUGGUCGGUUGGAAGUGACUCUUGGUCUGUACUCCAGCUUUCUGAUGCACCGAUAGAAAAGAUUGUGGAAUUCAAUCAUCAGUUCAUCACCAUGGAUGAUUGUUACAAGAUCUACACAAUGCAGCUGUCCCCCCUGCUGGGUCUGCAGGAGAUAACAACUGAGUGGGUUGGUGACCUGGCCCCAAGCUCUGACGCCAAACCAUGGCUAGUGGUCUGUGGCAACAUGCUUCUUACGGUUUAAUGUUUCAGUACAAUGAGUCCAGGCUGCUCAGUAGUACUCCCUUCGUCCGGAAAAGUUUGUCCCUCAAAUGGAUGUAUCUAGCACCAAUUUAGUGCUAGAUACAUCCAUUUGAGGGACAAGCUUGGGACAAGUUUUUUCGGGCGGAAGGAGUACAAUGUAUACCCCACCACCUUGACAUGUCGACCAGCCCUGCAAAAUGGGUGGAGGUACACGCCAACUGGAUAAUUGGGCACUCUUUGUCGGGGGUGAUGUGAGGAGCCGGCUGUUUUCUUGCAUGAGUCCGGAAAGGUGGGGUGGGAGGAGCAGGAGCCUUUCGAUACCGCCACGGGGCCUGGCGGUAGAGUUAGACAGGCUACCGCCAGGGUCCAUNNNNNNNNNNNNNNNNNNNNNNNNNNNNNNNNNNNNNNNNNNNNNNNNNNNNNNNNNNNNNNNNNNNNNNNNNNNNNNNNNNNNNNNNNNNNNNNNNNNNNNNNNNNNNNNNNNNNNNNNNNNNNNNNNNNNNNNNNNNNNNNNNNNNNNNNNNNNNNNNNNNNNNNNNNNNNNNNNNNNNNNNNNNNNNNNNNNNNNNNNNNNNNNNNNNNNNNNNNNNNNNNNNNNNNNNNNNNNNNNNNNNNNNNNNNNNNNNNNNNNNNNNNNNNNNNNNNNNNNNNNNNNNNNNNNNNNNNNNNNNAUGGCGGUAGGGUGCGACGGAGGGCGACGGCCGCCGUUUGCCUGAGCUGACGUCGAUAAGUAGCCUACCGCCAGGGACCCUGGCGGUAGCCUGUCUAACUCUACCGCCAGAACCCCUGGCGGUAGCGUAUGGCUGGGUUUUGCCUCCCAUAGUUUCUGUAACGAAAUAUCGAAGUGCCUGGCGGUAGGUUCGCCCUCCCGCCAGGGGGUUUGGCGGUAAGAUGUGUGACCCUACCACCAAGGACCCUGGCGGUAGGGUCCUGUGUUUUAUGGUUUUCAAGUUUAAUUUUUGCUUCUUUUCAAAAACAAUAUCACAGCAAUGAUAUAGACCCUAAAAUAUGAGCUCACAUAUUGUUUUAGUGAUUGUUUCUUUUGUAAAGUUUUAUCACAUAGUUUCACAAAGAAAGCAAAAUAUGAGCUCACAUAUUAAUAAAGGUUCAACAUAGCAAAUAGCAAAUAGCAAAUAGUAAACUUGUCCAUAUAGUUUGACAACCACAACUAACGCAAGUACUUUCGCAAAGCCAACAAACGGUCCAACAAGUUCUUAAGACAAGUUUAUAGGGCGGACAAACUUCCCCCCUCGUAUAUUAGGCCUGGCCAUGGAGACAGAUACGGCAGCGGAUCCACCGGUUCAGGCGGAGGCGGAACGCUGGUCGCCAUCCGACCGUUCAAGCACUCCCACCUUGCCUUGCCCGCUGGAGUUCUCGCCUCCGCCCUUCCCCAACUGAUGAUAUCGAACGCCGAUGCACUUGGCGGCGGCAUCCUGGCUCUCUCCUCGGCAUUGCUCUCGAAGUAGAUCCUCCGGCCCAAAUUGCGCAGCUCCCAGUUGGAGUGUUGCUUGGCAGCUUCAAUGGUCCCUUCCCGGCGGUUACUUGGGAUAGUUGGAUCUCCCUCCAUCUCUGCAGUCACUCUCUUCAACUCCUUCACACUCUGCGACCAACACUUCACCUCGUCGGAGAUCCGCUCUGCCCUCUCGUGCCACCGCACUGCCCUCGUCGCCUCUAGGAACUCGUCUGAAAAAGCUCCCACCGGCUGCAGAAGCUCGGGGAAGGACUCGUACAUGUACGGAAGUGGAAAGGCUGACGGGUCGUGUUGGAGAUGAAUGGGCGAUGGUUGCGCCACAUAUGCGUUCCUAAACAUAUGGAUGCAUAACAAAAGUUCAUCAUUAACUAAAUAAAAUACAUAUAUCAAGACGCAAUAUCAUAUCAUAUCAUAUUUACUCCAACCAAAUCCACUACUUGCAUCAUAUAUAUUUUGUUUACUCCAAUAUGCAUCAUAUCAACAUGCAUCAUGUCAUCAAAAAAAAUCCUCCAACAUUCAUCUUGAAUGUAUUAUCUCCAAACAACAUCUUCAUAUCAUCAUAUGAACAUGCAUCAUAAAACUACAAUCAAGUCCUCCCACAUGCACUACAUCAUAAUUUUUUAACAAAAAAAAUUAUGAACUAGGGUUCAUCUUCACACUAACAUAUGAACUAUUGAUUAUAGUUCAUAUUCAACACUACUACUUACUAAAGAACUAAGAACUACAACUACAAUCAAGCUAAAACAAUCCUAGGUGAAAAAGAAUCCAAUCUAAGUUCAAAAAUAUAAGGGAUUUCAAGCAAAUAAUGCGUCGAAUCGGAAGCAAGUUUGCAAAAACUAAUUGGAGGGAUCGGAGGAGCUUUCGUUUCUCUCUUCGGGGCCAUCUCGAUCCACAAAAAUGGUGAAGAAACGGUGAAGAUCCGAGGGGGGGAGUGGAGGAGAUGAGAGAGGGGCGAGUUGGGGAAGAAAAGAUGAAACUGCCGACGGGGGAAGGGGGAGGGGUGGGGAGAUGGGCAGGGGCGCGGGGUCUCGGGCGAAAUAACUGCCCGGACCCUACCGCCAUGGCCUCCGGCGGUAGGGUUAGACAGCCUACCGCCAGGUGCCCUGGCGGUAGGGUGCGACGGAGGGGGGCGGCGGCCGUCUCCGCGUGCUGACGUGGAUAAGUACCCUACCGCCAGGGGCCCUGGCGGUAGGCUGUCUAAACCUACCGCCAGAGCCCCUGGCGGUAAGAAAAAGGGUCAAAUCCCGAAUUUUUUUCAAACCGGGGUCAGAUCCUGAUUUUCUAUCGGAAAAGGGUCAAAACACGAAAUUCGGCCACGCAGCUAUGGCUUGAUGCUCCGCACGCUCCUGAUGAAAAUUUCCCUUACAAGUUACAACAGAGUAGGGACUUUUGCAACUCUUGGGCAGUGCCAUCGUAACAAUAGCACUUAUAACUUGGUGGGUUAGUACUGAAGCUUUUGUAGCAGUUUGGUGCUUGGAGCUUGUUAGGAGUAGUCAAGCUUCUAAUCAAGUUAGUGGUAUUUCGAACUACUUGUUUCCACUCUCUUCCCCAGUUGAUAAGUUUAAGUCUUCUAGACUGCGUUAACUUAAUUUCAUCUAACGUAUUUCUGUAUGUCCUUGGCUUCUAUCACUGGACAAGUUCAUCUCUUGUGAAUAUUUACUUAGUUGCAAGUUUUAAUACAAUGCUAAAGGACCAUCAAAACUGCCAAUGUUUGUUUUGAAUGGAUAAUCAGAAUUGCUUGUGUCUCAAUUCUUCUCUGGUCAGAGAGCUAAAAUAUACACCUACCAUCAGGUUCACCCAGAUGCAUAAUAUGUUGCUGAAUGAUAGUUUGAUGAGAACCCUGAUAUUUAUCUUCAGUUCCAUGGCUGGCCGACCUUUGUUUCCUCAUGUUCAAGAACGAAACACACUGUCAAAACAUUGUGUUGUUUGUUCUCUUCCUCCAAUGAAGCAUACGCAGAGCUCUCUAAAGGCCUGUUCGGAGACUCUCCUCUCCCCAAGUCCGCUCCGGGAGUUGGUGAAGCUGUAGCCAAAAAUGAAGGGACCUGGAGAACUGCCAAACAGCUCCUAAAAUUGCUUUUGGCUCCAGAGCUUGAGUGAUCAUGGGGCGACAAAAAUCCAACUCUUGUGUUGGAUGGUUGAUUCAGUUUGUUUUUGGAGGUUACAAAAUACAUUUUGGAGAGGUGGGGGUGAGCCAAUGUUCAAAAUGUUUUGAGAGAAAAGUCCAAUUCUAAUUCCGUACAAUUAAAAUUCAGGUAUAAUAUUUUAGAACCAAAUCCAAGCCUUAAAUUUCCUAGGAGGAAAAAAAUCCAAGUCUUUUUCCUAUUCCACAGAAAAAUUCCGGUCUACUUUUUUUAGUACAAGAUACCCCCUCCGUCCGAUAACAGCGUUUUUACACCAGUGUACUGUCAAAACCGUUCUUAUAUUAUGAAACGCGCGGGGAGGGGGGGUGUAUGUUAUAAAUAUAAAAACAAAUAAAGCACAUCGGAUAAAAAAACAAACGUUAGAUAUCCCUUUUUUUGCCGGGUAGGCGGUAAAGAUCUUUGGUGAAACUGGAUCAUUCAAAGUCGUUCUCUCUAUGUUCAUAUUUUUUAUGUUUAUAUCCCACAUUUAACAUCUUUUUCUUUCCCCGCUCACAAGGCAACUAGGAAAAGUCUUCUUCCCCUCGAUCUCUGUCGACGAGCCCAUGGAUUCAGUCUUCCCUCCGUCUGCCGCUCGGCGGCAGGCGGUGGGGAGGGGAAACUGGUGCCUCUGCUCCAGCUAGUAGAUAGGUUGGGUUUUGGUCCUCACAGGGGUAGCGCUCGGACGGAUGUCGGCGCAUCUUCUUCAAGUCGGUCUUUUGGGCUCCGAUCCUCCUUAAGUUCGUUUGUUGGGAUGAAUUAGAUGGAGUUCUGGCAUAGAUUCAUGUCAGCUCCUCAAGGCAACGAUGUUAGGGUUUCUCGUCAUGCGUACGCAACUACGAGAUUUGGCGUAAGUUCUUUGGAUUGAUUCAAGAUGUCAACGACGACGACUGCAAAGUCAAAGGCGCUGGUCCUUAGGGGCAUGUGCACAAGAGCGGAGAGAGCGGCGCUUCGGUGACUCGUUCUGACGACGGCACUGGUCAUUCGGUGGCCCAUGUACCUUGAUGAUUUUUUUAUUAUGUUUGAAAUGUUUUGUACUUUUUCUGAUGAAUCUUUAAAAUAGAUCCGAUCCUUUUUGGAAAAAAAAGUUUGUAUCUCACAUUCCACAACAUCUCAACAUAAAAAGGAAACAAUAGGAAAACUACUAAACAAAUCUAUUGUGCUUGUUCCAAGCAGCUUUCAAUCCAGCGGGAAAAAACCACUUCUCAUCUCUCUCAGCUUCAAAAGAAAAUUCUAGGGUUCCUCUGCCUUUCACCGACGUUGUCGCCGGUCCGUCUUGUCUCCGGUCGCCUUAGGGCUAUGGGGGCACGACGGAUUCCGGUCCUUGCCGGCAGGAGGGCACCGUUUUUAGAUGAUUUUUCGACUUUUGUUAGGGUUUGUGUCUUGUUCAUGAAGACGAGAUGGCGACGGCUACCUGAAUAUAGAAUAAGGUUCUCCCCACCUAGCCCCUGUCAUGGUGAUGCGUCUAGCAGGUAUGUCUCCGUCAGAUCUAUCUUUGAUGGAUUUGCUCGGAUUUGUACGUCGUUCGUCUAUGUUUGUGUGUCUUCAGGUUGGAUCCUUUCGAUCUACACUACUCUUCAACGACGAUGGUUGCUAUUUUCUAGUGUACUGGCUCUAUGGGGCCUUACCACAACGACUUCUUGAUUGUCACAACAAGUUUUGCUCGGCUCCGGCGAGAGAGGGGCGAUGACAGCGGCGCCUUCGUCACUAGAUGGUCUACGGAUCUGGGUGUAAUUUUUAUUACUUUUGAAGUACAUUGAUUGAAGAUGAAUAGAUCAAAAGUUUUCUCUGUAAAAAAAUGAGAUCACUUCUCAUUUUUUUAGGGGAAACUCACUCUUCGCCUGGAAAGAAAUGAAGAAGUUGGACACAGCCCAUUCCCAUGUUGGGCCAGCAACACCACACGACCCCCUUCCCUGAGAGAGAGUGCGGCAGGGAAGGGGAAGCGAGCCGCCGGCGCCGCCCACCUCACCAUCGUCUCCAACGCACGCAGUCUCUACCAGAUCAGAUCAGAUCAGAUCAGGCAUGCUCUCUCUCUCUCUCUCUCUCUCUCUCUCUCUCUCUCUCUCUCUCUCUCUCCUGUUUACUUUGCUCAUCUCCUGUGCAAAUCGAAACGCGUUGCCACUUUGGUGGUAAUCUCGAUAGAUUAGAUUCCCACUUGAUUUUCUUGUUGUGAGGGAUUCGGAUGCACUGCUAAUUCGUAGAACCAUAGACUACGGUUUGGUGGUUUCUACAAGGAAUUUAACUGAGUCCACAAUCCUCAGAUGGGAAGGGGGUUCGGAUUACCCAAGUCGAAGAACCCUAGGCUGUGCGGUUUGGUGUUUUCUACAAGACAUUUAACCGAGUCCAGAUUCUGCAAAUGUGAAGGGGGGGUUCAGAUUACCCAAGUCAAAGAACCCUAGCAUUUCCACGUAUCUGUUAGUUGGAAAGGUAGAACCAUCUGUCGCCCGUUUCAGUAUAAUGUUCUGAAGUGCAGUUGGGUUUAGUUUUUACAAAGAAGUUCCUUUUGGUAAGAGAUUAUUUCAUUGUGUGAUGCAGUGUGUUGUUAUUUCCUCACAUAAUAAUACAACAGUCACGCGAACGUCCAAAUGGAAUUUUUGGUUUCAUCUGAUGAUAGUAUUCACAUUGAAGUAACCACUACAUUUCCAGGACAUGAUAUUCACAGUAGUGCAGACUGAGGCAAUGUUAGAAAUAUUUACCACAUUUGAUUAUCGAUGUAGACUAGUCCAUGAGAAUCCAAUCUCUUGCCAUGUUAUUGUGUCACUAGUGUUUUUCAUGUUUUAAACACUACUAAUUUUAUACACUAGCUAGGCUAAAGGUAGGUAGCAUGCGGCACCAUUUUGGUAUCAGUUUCUAAAAAAGUUUCAACUACAGGGAAGCAUCCUGACAUGACUGUUUACCAUCAGAAGUGACCAGCGGCUGUUUGGAGUUUCUGAUUUCAUCUGCUUUAUGUCCGUCUGCUUGAAGUAAUUACUGAUGUGUUCAAGACUAGUUUACACUGCCCCCCAGGAUCCAAUCUCUUGAUGUAUUACUGAGUCACUAGUGUCUUUUAUGUUUUCGCUGAGCGCAUAUUUGUUAUCUGUGCAUUUUUUUUCCUGGCACUUUGUAUUGCUUCUCUGUUGGGUACUACUUUAAAUAUCCAGUUCAUUCUUCUAAUAUUUGUCCUCUGAUUCAUAACUUAUUUCAGAGAAGCUGCAAUCACCUGUAACACCAAGGCGCUGAGUUUGCAUCUAGGUUGUCUCAGCUAUGUCUACGCUUCAAGGUUGGGCAGACCUCCCAAAUGACUUGCUGUACUCUGUUGUUGCUCGGUUGGGAUCCUUCCCCGAUCUUCUUGCUUUCGCUGCAACCUGCCCGUCUUGGCGUGCUUCCAUUUCCUCAUAUCCCUCCAAAUCGACAUUGUUGCCACCUCUUCUCCUCCAACCUGGCGUCCCUGCAUGCUCUUCUCGCCCUCGCCCUCGCCCAUUGAGCAACAACCUUGUACUUAGACGCUCAUGCCAUGUUACUGAUCUUGCCAACAAAGACACCUACAUGUGCUGUCAGAUUCCCCAAUUUGCUUGUUUUUGUGACAGCAAAUCCCCAUCGGGUCCGCUGGAUGAAUUUUUUUUGGGGAGUGUGUCCUAUGGCCAUCUCGUCUUGGCCAACCGACAACAAUCAUGUCUUCUGGUUGAUGUCUUCACAGGUGUUAGUGUCUCAGCUCCGCAGCUACCCGUCAACGGACGCAUCCUCCUCAACUAUGCUGCCCUCACGGCUCCUCUUUCGUCACCCAACUCAUAUCUCCUUGUCAAUGUUGGGCGCCACAAUUUCUUUUCGCGUGAUGGUAGCGAUUCUUGGUUGAGACGUUCUCCUCGCAAUGGGACAUUUAAGAAGCUCGUGGUCUUCAAAGACCAGGUCUUUGGCAUGGAUCAUGAUCGCAUGCUCUAUAUCGUGCACUUGGAACCCCGGAUACGCAUACAGAAAAUAGCAGUUCAUCUGGAUGGAAGCAUGGCCAACAAAUGGCAUCUUAAGCAACCGUGGCUUGCCGCAUGUGGUGACAUGCUUCUCAUGGUCGGUUGUCAGAAACAUUCUCCAUCAACAGGGGACACUUUUGAAGCUUUCCGACUGGACGUAUCGACUGAACCUGCAAGGUGGGUAAAGGUGGAGAAGCUAGAAAACUGGGCGAUCUUCAUCAGUAUCGACAAGAGAAUCCAGCCCUUGUGUUGCAUGAACCCAGAGACAUGGGGAGGGAGAUGCAACUGUAUAUACUGCUGUAAUAGGAAAGAGUGGGUCGCAUUUGAGUUGGGCCAGCCGCCGCAGGGAGAUGCCUCCAAUCCAAAAGUUUAUAUUCACAUAAACUGUGGCAGUAUGAUGCAACCUACAUGGGUUGUGCCCAGUAUGUUCUAUUCGUGUCCGUGAACCGUGAUGACUGAUGAUCUUGAUGCAUGGUUAUUAUUAGUCCCCGUAGUAGCUCCCUCUGUAAGAUAUCUCGACUUUAUAGGUAUGCUCCAACAAGUACUGAACCAUUGUAUGUUGGAUAUAUUUGUAGUAUUAAUGAUGUCGUGGUCGGUUUGUAGCUUAUUAGUUCAGCUUGUUCUGAAAAAUUGUUGUACGAGCAGAGAAGAGAACACUGCCUCUUUUGCAGUCAGUGUAAGAGAUGUUGACAGUGGCAGGAGCACUGGCUGAAAUGUUUGCAGUUAGUUCCAUCCUUGAAUGUUUAACUACUUACUGAGAGAUCUUUAGACCUUAGUAAGAAAGAGAUGUGUUUGUUUUAUCAGUUAGGUGUGUUGUUAAUGUUUUAGUAGCUACUGAUUCUUCUUUUACCGGAACUGACAAGUUUCAGUAUAGUUUUGCCUCAAGGGCAUAGCCUUGUGUAUUUCUCAAGGGAUUCUUCUUCAGGUGAUGAUUUACCCAAAAAGGCACUUGGUUAUCAGGUUGUACGGUUGCUUCCCGUCAACUUCUUAGUUUGUCACAAGGGAGUAUGUGGCUAUGUGCUAUGAGUUUUGCAGAGUUUUUUUUUCUUCAUUUUAGCACAGAGAAGCCGGGUUGGUUAUACAACAUCUGAUCAUGCUACGUAAGAUUUUACUGAUUCAUUUAGUUUGAAAUAUAAAUGUAUGACAUUCAAGCUAGGCUUGGUGUCUGCUUUAACUUUUGCAUUCUAGGGGGCGCUGCUGCUGUCUCUGCUUGAACUGACUCGUUAUGGAACAGCAUGCUUUUUUGCAUGUGCAAAAGUUAAUCUCCUGUCAAAUUUUGAAUUUAACUGUAGCAUAAAAAAAUAUACACCUGGUAGCAUCAGAUGCAUAUGUUGUUGCGGAGGUAGUUCAUGUUUGACACUUGGACCGGAGCCCCUCCUGUUCCAUGACCUGCCUGUUCUGCUUCUCAUGUUCAGAGAGAACACAUGUCUGUUCUCUUCCUACGAAGGAAGGACGUAGGAGAGGCGACGAGAGAAAAAAAUAGCUUUUGCCCCCUGAACACGAGUGAUCCCGGGACAUCCCUAAAUAUAAGAAGAUUUGGUAGAGGCUGUUGAAAUGGGCAAUCCAAGCCUAAAUAUUUGAUGGCCAAGAAAAUCCAAUCUAAAUAUUUGCCUCUGUUUUUUUAGCUGUUUCUUUUUCUGGAUGGGAGUCAGCAGGGGGCAUUUUUUAAACAGGCUUUCACCCCUGCUUUAUAAAUAAACCAACCAACCAGUCCAACAAAGGACUAGCAACAUACCACAUAGUCUGUUGGGGCCAUAGCACAAGCAAGCCCAAAGAAAACAGAAGAGAAAGCAUAAAAAAAGACGUCACAUCAAGAGGUCAUCAACGAAGCUAAUCGAUGAGCCCAUGCUGACUCCCAAAGAGUACUCUUUGGCCUACGGUUGACCAAAGAGUACUCUUCAGCCUACGGCAGACCAUAGAGUUCUUCUCGGCCCAGUUGGGGUACUCUUCAGCCAACGGGAGGCUGAAGAGCCCACUUCGGUCAACCGCAGGCCGAAGAGCCCCUCUUCGGCCAACUGGAGGCCGACGGGGUGCUAGUUUUGAUUUUCUUGCGUGAGGACGUAUAGAUUCCGAAUUUGCUAUAAAAAUCAUCACAGUUUUGAAAAAAAAUCUCGUCGACGUGCCGUGGCCUGUAGUGCAUUCAACAUCUGCCCUAGGUGCUCUUGGUCCUGUUGCCUAGCCAGCGGGUGCCAGUGCUGCAGGAACGCAAGAAAUUUGAAGAAAGAGUGAGGCGCGUCACAAAAAGACCCUCUCGAUCACCAUCUUAUUACACGGCAAUCAUAAUGUCCAAGAAAGCGCAGCAAAGACCAGCGAGAAGAGGCGUCUUUGCCUUCCAGUCUGCAACACUCUGGCCUAAAGGAAGCUGACAAGAUUCACCGCCUCCUACUCGAGCCCGAGGGCUUCCCGGACAAAGCUGCACAACGACCUAGCCGCCGUCCCGGAGAAGAGGACGUGGGUCCGAUUCUCCGGAACACCACAAAGAGGCGCAACCAUUACCCGACCCAUGCUGCUUGAGCAUCUCCGUCCCAGACUGGAGGCGAUCCCUCAGCAAUUUCCAAACAAAAUGUUUAAUCUUCAAGGGGAGAGGCUUUCCAGAGGGGCGCCAACCACUAAUCAUCGGCCUCUGGCACAGUGCACGAUAUGCCAAAGCCAUCGAAAAAUCUCCCGAGGGAGAAACUUGCCAAUGCGCAGAGUCAGGGUCAUUGGUCAACACAGGAGGUAGGGUCGCCGGUAAAUUGGACCACUCUAACACCUCCGUCGGGCCAAGUGUGCGACAGAACAAGAUGUUCCAUUGUCCAUUUUGGCGAGCCUCCGAUACUAAUAACAAUGGAUUCCCGCAAAUGGCGAACAAGUCACGGAACCCUCGUGUAAAGAGGGAUUCCAUCCACCAAACGAUCUAGCCAAAACAUGGCCCCUCCGCCAUUACCAAUUGAAAAGGACAGCCCAGGAGAAUCUCAUGUUUGAUCUUCUGGAUCGACCGGCAAAACUGGGAGCCCUCCAUGCAGUCACAAGCUAGAAGAGGCAUGCCCAGAAGGUACUUUGCAUGUAGCCACAAUCUCCCCUCCUCGCGGAUGAUCCGUCAAACCCACCUAAGCAUGAGGGCGACAUUCAUCCGACGGGAGGCCAGGAUACCAAACCCACUCAUAUCCUUGGGUAGGCAGAUGUCGGCCCACUUCAUCAUGUGGUUCUUCUGGCGUCCAUUCAUGGCAAUGCCAGAAGAAAUGGGAAAGGUCUUUAUCAAAGGACCUAGCAGGGCCGUUGAUCCUUUUUUUUCAGGGUGUGGCGUUGUUCUGUUUUUCUUUUGCUUUGUUUUCCAGCUAUGCUCAGUGCCAAAAGAAGCACAUGUCGUCCCGCUCGGAGAAAGACAGCACCGUUCGGGAAGCGAGUCGCUGGAGAAGACGCCGGCCGACGCCAGCCUUCCACCGCGUCAUCAUCUCCUACCGCGUGCAUCCAAUCCCAUCCUUCUCUACAAGGUCCGCCUCUUCAUGAACCCAGCAUCCCAUCUUCCUAUACAUCCCAUUCCAUCUGGUUUUCUUCGGCUGUUUCCUUUCCUUUUCUCUCAUGUUCAUCCAUUGUGGUUCAUUAUUAUACGCCGCGCCUCCUCUCUACCAGUGGCUCCUAUAGUACCUUCCCAAACCAGUUUUUUUUCUUCUCUUUUUUCAUUUUUGUUUCCUCUUUUGUUUCCUUUUUCGCCUUUUCUUCUCUUUUUUUCUUUUCUUUUAUGAUUUUUUUUCUUUUUCUUUGCUUUGCAUCUUCUUUGUUUUAUCUUUCUUCUUGUUUUCGUGAACACUUUUUAAAAAACCGGGAACCUUUUUUAUUCAUGGAAUUCAAAACUUGUUCAUCAUAUUCAAAUUUUGUUCAACAUAAUUUUAAAAAUGUUCAACAAAUUCAAAAAAAAUCAUCCACUCUUCAAAAAGUUCAUAUGAUUUUAAAAAUAUGUUCUUGAAUUAAGAAUUUUUUCAUCAAGUUCAAACAAAUGUUCAUAAAAUUCAAAAUUUGUUCAUAUGAUAAAAACUGUUCAUAAAAAAAUACAAGGUUUAUUCUUGAAUAUACACAAAAUGUUAAUUGUGUUGUUUUUUAAAUUGUGAACAUAUUUUGGAACACGUGAACAAUUUUUUUAAACAGACAAAACAUUUUCUUAAUUUUUGGUAACAAUCUUAACAUUUCUAGUUUUUUAUGAACAUUUUUCGAGUUCAUGAAUAGUUUUUGAAUAAGUUUACAUUUUUUGAAUUUUCUGAUUGUUUUUGAAAUCACAAACAUUUUUCAAAUUUGUGAGCAUUAUUUGAAUUCAAGAACAUUUUUUGGUUCCACAAACUUUUCAAAAUUCUCAAUUUUCUUAUAUUUUGGAACUUUAUGGGUAUCCUGAAUUAUUUAAAGAAGAAAUCCCAAGAACGUAGAAAAACAAAAACAAAAAAAAAACUAAACAAGAAAGUAGGGGACUUCUUCCCGGUGCUCAUGUGCUGGUCUAAAUCGGCGCGCGGGUGUGCACCUGGUGGCUUCCCGGCGCAUUCUGCCCCCAAAUAGGAGCUCCGCAUGCUGCGAUUAUUGUCGCCGAAUCGCAUACUAGCAAUAUGAAUUGGGCCCGCCCAUUUACCAUACAGCGCGCAUGCUAGUCCUGGGAACCCUGUAUACGGUUCUAACCGUAUGUCUUUUAUAUUUAUUCUUUUUUUGCAUUUUUCUAUUUAAUUCUUUUAUAUUCAAAAUAAAUUUGUGAAUUCAAUUUUUUUCAUAACCCCAAAAUUUGUUCUGAUUUUUCAUAACUUCCCUUUUUCCAAAUUUUGUUCAAAAAUUCAAAAAAUGUUUGAGAAUUCUGGAAGACGUUCAUGCAUUUUGUUCAGAAGUUUCAAAAUUUAUCAUGUUUUCAAUUUCUGUUCACAAUUUAAAAAAAUGUUCUGGAAUUUUGAAAAUAGUUCAUGUUUUUAAAAAAUUGUUUAGGGUUUUCAAAGAAUAUUCCCCUUUUCAAACUUUGUUACCAAAUUCAAAAGUUUGUAGUUGAGAAAUGUUCGAGAAUUUGAAAAAAUUUGCAUUAUUAAAAAAAUGUCCAAAAAUUUGAAAAAUGUUCCAGUUUUCAAACUUUGUUCUCAAAUUCAAAAAAUAUUUCCGUCUUAAAAAAUGAUUCUGGGAUUUCAACAAUGUUCAAAAUAAAAAAGGAUAAAAAAAUUGGUUGUUAUUUUGUCCCGUCAGUAUAGUAGACCGAACCCUAUAGGAAACUGGACCACUACAGUAACCGGUCAACCACAGUACAGAAAAUGGCUCUACAGUGAAAAAAAUCAUGGUAGAAUGGAAAUCCAGUCCUACUGUUGUAUUGCGCGCCUAGCAUGUUGAUGGGCCGGCCCAUUAGGGGCACCAUGUGUGCGUCGUCCCCUAAAUCGUCCUGAUGGAUCCUUUCCCCUUUUUAAGGGAGGUCCUAUCGGGCGCUUCAGGCGCCCGAACCUCUCCCUGGCGCUCGCUACGGCGCCCAGUUGGGCCGGCCCACGAAUCGCGCUCAGCAGCGAACACAAAAGCUCGUGAAUUUUUUUCCGGAAAAAGACAUCUCCAGGUCUCGAACACACAACCUUCCAGUUUAGGUACAAGUGCGCUAGCCACUCGAUCUAUCGCGUAGGUAGUCAUUAGUGACAGCGGCAAAGGCAUAAUAAAUAAUGUCGCUGCGCUAUUCUAUUUCAUAUUUUUUUUUGGAAAAAGAUCGUGACAUUGAAAUAGUUCAUGGAUUUUGAAAAUUGUUCUUCAUUUUGGAGGAAGAUUACACAAACCUGAAAAAGUUCAUUGGUUUUCAAAAAAGGUUCAUCAAAUUUGAAAAAACUUAUUGGUUUUGAAAAACGUUCAUCAAAAAAAAAAUUAAAGCAUUUUCAUUUAAUGUUCAUCAAACUUGAAAAAUAGUUCAGCGAAUAUGAAAAAAAAGUUCAUCACAUUUAAAAAAUGUUCAUCGAAAUUGAAAAAAAGUUAAUAAUUUUUCAAGAAAAGUUUUCUCAUUUGAAAAAAGUUCAUCGAAUUUGGAAAAAAGUUCAUCGGAUUUGGGAAAAGUUCAUUGGAUUUGAAAAAGUUCAUCAAAUUUGAGAAAAGUUCAUCGGAUUUUAAAAAAGUUCAUCAAAUUUGAAAAAAGUUCAUCGAAUUUGGAAAAGAGUUCAUCGAAUUUGAAUUUUUUUUAUCGGAUUUGAAAAAUAGUUCAGCGCAUAUGAAAAAAAGUACAUCAAAUUUGAAAAAUGUUCAUCAAAAUUGAAAAAAAGUUAAUAAUUCUUCAAGAAAAGUUCAUCAAAUUGGAAAAAAAUUCAUUGAAUUUUGAAAAAAUUUCAUUUCAUUUGAAAAAAGUUCAUCGGAUUUGGAAAAGAGUUCAUCGAAUUUGAAAAAAUUUCAUCGCAUUUGAAAAAAGUUCAUCAAAUUUGAAAAAAUUUCAUCGAAUUUGGAAAAGAGUUCAUCGAAUUUGAAAAAAGUUUAUCGGAUUUGAAAAAAGUUCAUUAAAUUUGAAAAAUGUUCAUCGAAAUUGAAAAAAGUUAAUAAUUGUUCAAGAAAAGUUUAUCUAAUUUGAAAAAAGUUCAUCAAAUUUUGAAUAAAGUUCAUCAAAUUUGAAAAAAGUUCAUCGAAAUUUGAAAAAAGUUCAUAAAAUUUGAAAAAAGUUCAUCGAAUUUGGAAAAGAGUUCAUCGAAUUUGAAAAAAGAUUAUCGGAUUUGGAAAAAGGUCAUCGGAUUUUAAAAAAGUUCAUCAAAUUUGAAAAAAAAUUCAUCAAAAUUGGAAAAGGAGUUCAUAGAAUUUGAAAAAAGUUCAUCGGAUUUGGAAAAACGUUCAUCGUAUUUUAAAAAAGUUCAUCGAAUUUGGAAAAGAGUUCAUCGAAUUUGAGAAAAGUUCAGUGAUUUUUAAGAAAAAAAUAACGAAUUUCAAGCAAAAACAUCAAACUAGGAAGAACAAAAAAAAAAGGAAAAACAGAAAACAAAACCAAAAAAGGAAAAAAAGGAAAAGAGGAAAGAAUAGAAUGGAAUAGAGGAAAAAGAUUGUAGUUCACAUAUAAGCAAGUUGGCGUGAUGGUUAGCGAUGCUUUACUCAACAGGGAUGUCGCUGGUUCGAACCUAUUCCGUGGCAUCUUUUUUUAGCGAUUAGGACAAAGGAGAUGGGCCGGCCCAGCAGGGUGAAAGGGGUGUGCGCCGUGUACCAGUAGGCCUAAAACGGGCGCUACAGGCGCCGUUUAGGAAAUGCCCCUUUUUAACCCUGAACUUAUAGAAACAGGAAUAAAUGUGGCCCUUGGGUGGUCUUUAAAGAAUUGAAAGAUGUUUUCGUUGAAAUGAUGCUGAAUUUAUACAUAAAAUGGAAGUAUAUAUUGUUGAGAAACGUGAUUGUAUUAGGAAACAUAGGUUAGACUAGGACAUAUUCUGGCUUGCCUUGUACUCCAUGUAGAUUAUGUAUUCUUAUAUAUAUGUCCACGAGGUUCAAGAAAUACAACAACUAUUUCACCAAAUCCCUCUCUCCCUUCUAACAUGGUAUUAGCCUAAUCACGAUCCAAACCCUAGCCACCGCCGCUUCCGCACCCGCGCGCCGCCCCCGGGGCGGUCGGUCUCCAUGACCACCGCCGGGGGCCGCGCCGCCCGUACCUAGGGUUCGUUCGCCGGCCGUGUUGGCCGGCUGCCCUAGAGAGUCUUUUUCCCGAGCCCUUGCUCCGGGGUUUUUUCGCUCUCUCGCCGGUCGUUUUGAUCAGCGUUUUUCUUUUUGGUUUUCCGAUCUAAUCUUGAUCGGUUUGCGUCGCCCGCCGCAGCCGUCGACCCCCGUGCGCCUCUACUCCAACCCCGGGGCGACCAACCGGCCUCUCCUCUGACCCGGCGUCCACGCGCACCAAGGCGGCCCGUCAAGGCCAGCCGUUGUCCGCGCGUCGGUCCGCCCGUCGCCCUGCGCCGGCCGUCACCGCCCUGCUCCGACUGGGAAACCUGCAUCGCCCCGACCCAGCGGCCUCGCGCCAUGCGAAGGCCAAUCAUAGCCAUCGCUCGCGCGCCGGCCCACCCAUCGAUCCACGUCACCCGCCUCCGCCGCGUUUGCACGAUGGCUCGGCGGUCUACCUUGCCGGCCUCGUCCUCGGCUGCAUCAGGCUCGUCGGCUGCCUCAACUCGGGGGCCGCUGCUCCGUUGGUCGCUCGGGCCUCGUUGCUCGGGCACCGGCGCUGCUUUGGCAGCCCUGGUGCCGGUGCUGACGUCCCACGCCGUCCGUCGCCGCCGGCCUCAUCCAGGACUCCGCCGCCACCACGCCUCCAUCGAGCGGCGUCGCCGACCUCGCGUGCGAUCGGUUUGAUCACCCGCUUGCCGCCGCGAUCCGCCUCAUCUACGCCGCGCGACCAACCUGGCCCGUCGGUUGCGCGCGCCUCCGCAGGUCCCGUGAAGAUUGUCCCGAGUUCAGCGCGCCCCUCCGCCGAUCGAGCAACGGGCUGCCGCUGCGUCGCCCCGUCGGGCCGCAGCGCCGCCGCCCCGUGGUUCUCCUCGCGGCUGCAUCGACUCGUGUGUCGCCGCUGUGUCGCCCCAACGGGCCGUAGUGCCGUGAUACGCGGUCCACGCCGCCGCCCCGAGGCCGUCCCCACGGCUGCACGGACUCGCGAGCCACCGUUGCGUCGCCCCUUCGGUCCGCAGCGUCGCGGCCCGCGGUCCCCCCGCCGCCCCGUGGUCUUCCCGCCGUCGCCCCGACCCGCCUGCCGCCGCUGCGUCGCCCCUUUGGGCCGUAUCGCCGCGGCCCGCGGUCCACUGUGCCGUCACCGCGCGUCGACCUCCCGUGGUAUGCGCCGUGCCGUCUCCCUUGGCGCGGGAACACCACCGUCCGCGCCGGUUUUCUUCUUGAUGUCAGGGUACUUCGCCUACUUCGAGCACCGCCGCCGCACUCCUAACCUAGCUGCCGCCGCCGCUCUUCUUUGGCUGCCGCCGCCGCUACCUUCGUAGCCGCCGCCGCCGCCGGUCCACCCCCUUCGUCUUCGUACAAGCACCAGCCGUCGCCAGCGUCGCCGUCAUCUACCCCGACCACUUCGUCUGCUCCGACCACCGUUGGUGACAUCGGCCCCGCGCUGAUGGACGCCGCAAUCGUCGUCGAGUUCUUCUCUGCUGGCCCCUCCGACUUCUCCGACAUGGCGUACAGCUUGUGCUGGUCCCUCGUCUACGCAUGCCCGGUGCUGGCAACACCGAUACGUCCACGACAUGUCCCCGGGCCUGGCAAGCCUGGUCGGUGCUUCGUCAACUUCGUCUUCGUCCGUCUACGCAUGCCCGGUGUUGGCAACAUCGGUGCGUGCCUUCGGCCACGAUGUGUCCCAGGCUUGGCAAACCCGCCGCGACGCGUCGUCAACAACAUUUUCUUCCCGGCGCACCCCUACUUCGACACCACUGCGCCCAUGCUAACUCGGCGCCCUCUUGCGCCCGCGGCUCCUCGGCGACUUCCUCGACACCGGCCACCCCGACUCGACAUCGACCACGGCUACCUCGACCACGGCUCCACCACCCACGCUGCUACAUCGACAAACGGCACAAAGGGCUACCGCCUGCUUGAGCAACCUCGUUGGUUUCCACUCCAGCCACGACUCCGCGAUGCGUCCACCUUUACGACUGUGGGGGGGGGGGUGUCCGUUGGCUUGCCUUCGGAUUCUUCUCCAGUCCCACCGUCUGCGUCGCUACCGUUGUGACUGCGGGGGGAUGUUGAGUAACGUGAUUGUAUUAGGAAACAUAGGUUAGACUAGGAAAUAUUCUGGCUUGCCUUGUACUUCAAGUAGAUCAAGUAGACCCUAAUGAAGGACUUUGCGUUGAUGGAUCUGAGUAGGAAGAUGUUGAUUAAGAUGGACGCCGACGGGGGCAACGACACCAGCCGACAGCUUGUCGAGGGGGCUAGCCAAGCAACGACGUCUCUCUUGCUAUCCUGCCUGCUCGGGCUCAUUCUCCUCGUCGAGGAGGUUGACGACGGAGGCAGCGCUUCGGUGUGUUGUUAUGCUUGGACUGGUAUGGGGCUAUGGGCUGCACUACGUUUGCGCUACGGUUUGUGGCCGCCUGGGCUUUUAUGGCCACUCGCUGGUGGCGGGUAGUGGUGGCAUGUUUUACGGGACACGCGAUAAAAGCCAUUAAUGGCUGGACUAGGGUGCCUGCGGGUUAAUACGGACGACAACACCAUAUUACACAGAGGGAAAACAGAGGAAAGAAUGAAGGAACGUACUAGCAUGACGUCGUGACGGGUAUGCACACAAUAAUACUUACCCACCCGUGUGCGAUAAAGGGAAUACUACAUCGAGUUGGUCAAAGUAAAAUGUGUGCCGAACUUAACAACCAAGCACACAUUUCUCGGAACAAAACGGUCACGCCACUAUGAGUUAUCGCAGUGUCUCCUUUCAUAAACCGUGUGCGCUCGUUAUCAAUAUCGUACACUAUUCUGUGUGCCCAAUAGAGCAUAUAAUUCUGAGCACACAAUCGUAUGCGCUGUCAUGAGUUAUCACACACGAGUUGCGUUUAGAAACCAUGUGCGCAACUUUCAAAUCAUCACACACGAGUAUUCAUUAUUACGCAGCGUGUGUGAUGCUCCAAGUAUCCACACACAAUUUGUUGUUGAAAAGUGUUUGCCAAUCAACAUGCAUGAUUAGGAAAAUUCAAUCGUGUGUUUUAUUACAGACUUAUCAAACACACAACUUUAUAUAAUAGUGUGUGUCCCUUAUCACACAGGUUUGCAUCUCAAAAUCGUGACCAAUGGACGGGCCAUCACACAUGUUUAAUUUUUUGGCAAACGGGUUUAUUUUUCUACCAUUUGUGAUGCCUGCAUCGCACAUAGUUCGGUUCAAGGGCGUGUGAUAGAUAUGUCUUCUUAGCCCUAUUCUGCAGGAGAGGAGGGUGAAAAAGGUUCACACUUCUGUACUUUAGUUUUCGAUAAGCUUCUUGAGUGAUGCUUUGCGUAUGUUCAAGCUGAUACCUUAUCAUAUUGGCACAAAUAAGCUUUCUCAGCAGUAGAACAGAUGCCAUUGCCAUGGCAUAGAUGCAUGCAUGUUUCCUCUUUGCAAAAUUAAAGGCGCUGGAUGUUACUUAGUACUAAUCCAGAGCUGGACGAUUGCUCUUCUUUUUCCUUUCCUUGGUCCGAACAUGUACAGCAAGCUAGGUAGCCCCACCAUAUUUAUUCAUGUUUAUUUGCUUUGCUUUAGAAAUUUUCAUUCAUCUUGGCUUGCAUGGAUAUGUGCCCUGGGUAGGGACGAUGCAAAAGGUUCUCAUCUGCUGUACUUUAGUUUUGGAGACGCUUUCUCAGUGAUGCUUGCUGUUUGUUAAAGCUGACGCCUUGUCGAUCAUGUUUGUUAAAGCUGCAGGUAUCAGCCAAAAUUAAAAUGUUUGGAUGGAGGAUCUUCAUGGUGAACACCAAUGAAAAAAAUAGCGCGCUACAGAAAAUAGCAUGGCCCCUGAAAAUAUGCUAUUAGCGUGCUAUAGCGCGCUAUAGCGUGCUAUUAGCGAGCCAUUGUACAUUGAUUUAUUUAGCGAGACAAUUCUCUAUAUGCUAUAGCGUGCUAUUAGCGGCGUUAUAGCGCGCUAUUUUUUUCAGUGGUGAACACCCAGUGGAAUUCUGGCGAAUCGCCAUAAUUGUAAUGAUGGGAGCUGCCCCAUUGGUCAUAACGGAUGCGAAGAUAUCAAGCAUGUACUUUCCCAUACCUGUAACUGUGCGAGAAGUGUGGAAUAGCAUGGGAUUUAUAGCUGAGGAUACAAGAGUUAUUGAGGAUUGAUCGGUCGGGAUCAAUAUGUAUAAAAUUAUAGGAUGACUAGAAUAUUUCUGUUGUUGUGUUGUAUUGAUCUGAUCCUUGUCACGUUUAUAUAUAAAGUACAUUGUGGGAAGAGGAUUAAAGUACAAGACAAGCCAUUAUUGGUUUAAACCAAAUCUUUCUUCAUCUGUCUUUAUCUCUAACUAACACCCAACACAUUUAUACUUCUAACACGUUAGUGUUAGAAUAUAUAAUCAGGAGUGGUGGCACUGUACCGGAGCUUGCAGAGCUGGGCUUAGCAGAAUUAAUUCUGUCAAAGGGAUGAUGGGAAAGGACGCAGGCUGUGCAUGGUGAGACAGUCCAAACUCCUAUCCGAAGGUUUGUCGAUCGCCGUCUUAUCUAAAAAUUCAAGUGGCUAGUCACAAACUGAAUGCAAAGCCUCAGGAAGGCUGGGUUAGGCCCACAGAGGGGAGGGUUCCGCGGCCGCCGCGACUAGGGACUCGCUUGGAAGAGCGACGAGAGAUACCCCCUCCCCCCUCCCGGCCCUCGCGUCGCCCCCUUGGGCGACUCGGGGGCGACUAGGGUUCCGCGGCCGCCGCCACCCCCUCCACUCCCUUCCUCCCCUCGCCGCUACAGGAGACGGCCGCCGGGAAUCCCGCGCGGGCGCCGGUGAAGGUGGCGGUGGGGAUCUCGGCGCUCCAUCCCCUCUCAAAGGCCAGUGGUUCCGGGCGCGGCGGCCCCAGCCGGAGAGGCGGCGUCAUUGGGCGGUUGGCGGCGUUUGCAGGGGUGCUGGCCAGCGUGCUUAGCGGCGCGGGCGGCGGGUGGCUGGUGGAAUCCGGCCGCGGUGCGAAGUCUCUUCUUCGUCAGAUAUGGAGGUUCGAAAUCCCUCUCCCUGUUGCCUCUCUCUCACCGUCGGCGGGGACUAGUGAUUUGUUCUCUGGCUCCGGCGGUGGUGGCCAGCUAGGGGACCGGGGGAAACCUUGGCCGAUCCGGCCGGCCCGGCGGCGGCAACGCCCAAGAGCGCUGCUUUCCUCCAUGGGGGCGCAGCCGAGGUCCCCUGCUCUCCACCCGGACCCCCCCUGCCCGGGUGAAAACCCUUUAUCCACUGUGGAUUUGGCGGCGGCGGCACCUUGCGCGUCGUGACCUUGCUGGAGGCGUCGUUAGGGGUGCUGGGCGUGGUCGAGAGGCUCUGCAGGUGAGCGAUUGAGUUGCCUCCUCUUCGUCGUCCGAUUCCAUGAAGCUUGUCUCCAACUAGUUGGGCAUGGACCGUGGCAGAGCGGCCGACUAGGGAUAUCCCAAAUCAAAGUGGUCGCACUAUGUCCACCUUACGAUGUGAGGGCGACAUUCUUCAAGCUCUAGGGUGAGCUUCUAGAAAUCCUGACGUUGCGGCGCCUACGAGCCAUGGCGAGGGGGUAGGGUCCCUCUUCGGUGAUAGAGAAGGAAGAUGGUGUUCCCCUUCUUCUCUAGGUGUUCCUGGAGCAUGGCCAUCUUCGAAGGUCGGCUAUGUCUUGCUCUGCUGCUCCGUUCUGCUAGCUCAGCCUUUGCAAGCUGUUAUCUUAAUUUCCAUUUCAUUAGCUGCUUGUGGAGGUUGUAGUGAGUGUUUCUGUCCAGUGUUCCCCAUUGUAUCGUUCUGACUGUUGUAAUUUGGGUUGUCUGUUGUAAUUCCUGGCCGGUUGAUGGCUUUGUUAAUUCAAAGCCGGGGCCUUCGCGAGCCUUCGUUCUAAAAAAAAAGGCCCAAAGAGGAAGGGUGUCCUAAAGAUCAACGUGGAUAGUCUAUUCCAUGAAGACUGAGGAACAAGCGUACCAGUGGUGGUGAUCCCUGAUGAAUAUAGCAAAUUUUUAGGAGCGGCGCAAAGAUAUCUGGCUCAUGUGGUGAAUGCAAUAAUGGCCGAAGCUUAUGCGCUCAGGGAUGGGUUUGAACUUGCCAAGUACAUCGGCUGUAACAGAUUCAUCAUCGAGUCCAAUUGCUUGCAGGUGGUAGAAACUGUGAACGUUGGCGGCCUCUCGUCAACUGAAUAGAUGAUGCAAAGUGGAGAUGUAAAACUGGCUGACAUCUCAUUGAACACGUUGGAUGUGGUGGCCGUGGGCGUGACCACGUCUUCCUCCAUGGCCGGCGGCAGCAGCGGCAGAGGUGGAGUAGGGGUUCCUUGAGCGGAUGAGGAAGUCACGGCCGCCGGUAGCAGCGAAUCAGCCGACGCACCUGCGGCCGCCUUUUAUUUUUUGGCCACCCAUGAUGGGUUCGUCGCCGGGUUGCGCCCCGCCGGUCGCUUCACACCUCCACCGCGGGGAUUGACGGCCAGCUACUUCUUCGCUGGCGUAGCCAUGACGGCGACCGGCCGGGGAGGGGCAAACCGGGGCGGCGGCAUGGAGGCGGAGGUGGGAUUGGGGACGGUGGUCAUGCCGGCGAAAGCCGCGGCAGGGUGGGCGGCUGUGGCGGGGUCGUCAGAUUCGGCCAUGGCCAGGGGGCGGUCGACGGUUAGCGGGCGGGCGAAAGGAAAAUGAAAGCGGUUGGGCAGUUGGCGCGCGGCCGCCAGUUUUACAUCUCCUAAGGGUGGAGAUGUGAAUUUGCAUCUACAUGUGUUGUAUUUUACAUCUCCUGGAGGUGGAGAUGCAUAGGGGUUGAUGCACGUUCUUGUCUUUGUUUCUCCGGUAGAAAUCUUGGGGGCACUCUUUGAAGUUCUUUAUGUUGGAUUGAAUAUUAUGAAUACGAAUUUGCUUUGGUGUUAUUUUAGUAUGAAAUCUAGGAUAGAUCGAAGGAAAGAAUAGCUUUGUGUUAUUUUAGUACGAACUCUUGAAUAGAUCGAACGGAAAGAAUAGCUUUGAGGUGUUUUCGUACCCUACAAACAAUUUAUUCUUAUGUUCUCCGCUAGAUAGGAACUUUGGAGUGAUUCUUCAUCACACUUUGAGGGAUGGUUAUAUGAUCCAAUUAUAUUAGCAUUGUUGAGAGGUUGCACUAGUGAAAGUACGGACCCUAGGCCUCAUUUUCAAGCAUUGCAAUACCUUUUUGUGCCCAUUUACUAUUUGCUACCUUGUUGUUUUUAUUUAUUCAGAUUAUAAAAAUAUAUUUCUACCAUCAAUAUUACACUUUUAUUACCAUCUCUUCGCCGAACUAGUGCACCUAUACAAUUUGCCAUUGUAUCGGGUGUGUUGGGGACACAAGAGAUUUCUUGUAUUUGGUUGCAGGGUCGUUUGAGAGAGACCAUCUUCAUCCUACACCUUUCACGGAUUGAUAAACCUUAGGCCAUCCACUUGAGGGAAAAUUGCUACUGUCCUACAAAACUCUGCGCUUGGAGACCCAACACAUGUCUACAAGAAUAAAGUUGCGUAGUAGACAUCAAUCAACAUUUCCUCUUCAAGGAAAAAACCAACGCAAGCUCAAGAAGUAGCAGGGGAAACCCGCAAAAAGCGGCUGUACCGAUCCUUUGACCGGUUGUGCCGCUCCCAUGUUUUUCUGCAACAUAACGGGCAGAUUCGCGGGGUCCUAUAAAAGAGGGUCUUCCCCAAUGGACCUCAUAUCCUUUGAGAUCAUGUUCUUCCCCCAUUAUUGACCUUCUUCGAGCUUGCUAACUCUCAACCCCUCCAAUGAUUCUUGCUAGUUCUUGAGGAAAAAGAGAGAGGAGAUCUAGAUCUACGUUUUCACCAAUCACUUUCUCCUCUAUGUGAGGCGAACCCCUUGGAUCUAGAUCUUGGAGUUUAUGGUGAUCGCCCACUACUAGGGAAAUGCCUAGCAGUAGCACUGGUUUUUGGGCUAGCAGUAGCACGGGGGGACCGCACUACUGCUAAUUACGACACUACAUCUAAAGGGUAGCGGUAGCUUUACUAAGAACGCGCUACUGGUUGUUACUAGCAGUGCUUCUCUAUACCUGCGCUACUACUAUUAUUACAUAUUCUAUUUUUUUUAUUUUAUGUCGUAUUAAUACACUAUUAGCAAUUUAGAGAUUGUUUUUACAUCAUAAUGAGUUAUUACAUCACUGGAUGAACGAACCGCGAAUUAGUUUCAAGUGGAUAGAUCCAAAGUGAUCAAGUCAUGGAUCCAUCCACUUGAAACUAUUCCGCGGUUCUUUCAUCUAGUGAUGUAAUGACUGAUCAUCAUCAUCAUCAUCAUCAUAACACAUUGUAGCACAUAAUAACAACGUCUCAUCAUCAUGACAGUCAUAAUAAACACUAACUAAUUGUUCUUAAUACCUAGGACCUCCUCCUCUCUCCUAGGUAAAAUACCGUAAAACAGAUAAACCGGACCAUCUCCAUAAUGGAGAAUGGAGAUACACCUAUCUCCAACUUGUGGCUUGCGCACAUUCAUGUUGUCUCCAAUUAGUUGCGUGUGCGCAUUCAUCACUUUGCUCCAUUCUUUGAUAUUUAGCCUUCCAUCAUUUGAAGAAAUCGAGUAUGUAGUAUGGUAAGCCUUCGAAGGAGUUGGUCGUAAGCUAACCAUAUGCAUAUAACCUUCGGUAAACAGCAUGUAAGGCACAACCUCCUUCGGGAGCCUCUGUUAAAAAACGUAAUAGUAACAUAUUGAUACGUCUCCAUCGUAUCUACUUUUCCAAACACUUUUGCCUUUGUUUUGGACUCUAACCUGCAUGAUUUGAAUGAAACUAACCCGGACUGACGCUGUUUUCAGCAGAAUUGCCAUGGUGUUAUUUUUUGUGCAGAAAUAAAAGUUCUCGGAAUGACCUGAAACUUCACGGAGAAUAUUUUUGGAAUUAAUAAAAAAUACUGGCGAAAGAAUCAAGGCCAGGGGGCCCACACCCUGUCCACGAGGGUGGGGGGCGCGCCUACCCCCCGGGCGCGCCCCCCUGCCUCGUGGGCCCCCUGUUGCUCCACCGACCUCAACUCCAACUCUAUAUAUUCACGUUCGGGGAGAAAAAAAUCAGAGAGAAGGAUUCAUCGCGUUUUACGAUACGGAGCCGCCGCCAAGCCCUAAUCUCUCUCGGGAGGGCUGAUCUGGAGUCCGUUCGGGGCUCCGGAGAGGGGAAUCCGUCGCCAUCAUCAUCAUCAACCUUCCUCCAUCACCAAUUUCAUGAUGCUCACCGCCAUGCAUGAGUAAUUCCAUCGUAGGCUUGCUGGACGGUGAUGGGUUGGAUGAGAUUUACCAUGUAAUCAAGUUAGUUUUGUUAGGGUUUGAUCCUUAGUAUCCACUACGUUCUGAGAUUGAUGUUGCUGUGACUUUGCUAUGCUUAAUGCUUGUCACUAGGGCCCGAGUGCCAUGAUUUCAGAUCUGAACCUAUUAUGUUUUCAUGAAUAUAUGUGAGUUCUUGAUCCUAUCUUGCAAGUCAAUAGUCACCUACUAUGUGUUAUGAUCCGGCAACCCCGAAGUGACAAUAAUCGGGACCACUCCCGGUGAUGACCGUAGUUUGAGGAGUUCAUGUAUUCAUUAAGUGUUAAUGCUUUGGUCCGGUACUCUAUUAAAAGGAGACCUUAAUAUCCUUUAGUUUCCAAUAGGACCCCGCUGCCACGAGAGGGUAGGACAAAAUAUGUCAUGCAAGUUUUUUUCCAUAAGCACAUAUGACUAUAUUCGGAAUACAUGCCUACAUUACAUUGAUGAAUUGGAGCUAGUUCUGUGUCACCCCUAUGUUAUAACUAUUGCAUGAGAAUUCGCAUCCGACAUAAUUCUCCAUCACCGAUCCAAUGCCUACGAGCUUUUCAUAUAUUGUUCUUUGCUUAGUUACUUUUCCGUUGCCACUGUUACAAUUACUACAAAACUACUACUGUUACUUUUGCUACCGUUACCGUUACUUUCAUACUACUUUGCUGCAGAUAUUAAGUUAUCCAGGUGUGGUUGAAUUGACAACUCAACUGCUAAUACUUGAGAAUAUUCUUUGGCUCCCCUUGUGUCGAAUCAAUAAAUUUGGGUUGAAUACUCUACCCUCGAAAACUGUUGCGAUCCCCUAUACUUGUGGGUUAUCACAUAUAUAGUUAGCAAUGUAGUUUAUAUACUUAAGAAGAAUGUAUGCAAUAAAGUUACCAUCAUUAACAAAAUCUUACCAAGUUUUUGGCAAUGAAGUUACCAUCAUGCAAUUUAUGGACUAGUGGCACAUAUCCAGUAAAAUUGGGAGGAUAUAGUGAUUGGUUUUAAAGGCCUCAACAUCAUCUAUGAAUGAGACAAGAUAACAUUUCUCCUCACAAUUAAGCUUGGAGUCAUAGCUGUAGUAUGUCCUGUCUACAGCCUUUCAAGUAUUUUUGGAAGAUAAGAAAUAAGCUAACAAUUAUAAAUAAGAUGUUUAGUACCGAUGAACACCAAAUAUUUUUAAAUUAACAAUAUAGAUUACUUAACUUAACAAAUUAGUUUGACAAACUCACAUUUAGGCAAAACUGGAGGCAUAUCCACAUCCACCAAGAUGUCAAUAUUAUCAUCAUCAUCUUUGGGACGAAUAUCAAAUGUUAUUUGCAUACCCUCUUCAAAUCCAUAUGCCUUGCAGAGAGCUUCCCAAUUAGAGCAACCGAAGUGGGAGUGAUCAACCGCAUUGUAUAGCUUAACCCGAAACGCAUAACCAUGUUUAGUUCUUAAGUGAGCCCUCCUCGUCUCCAUAUUCUCAAAGUCUUUGAAACCGAGCUUCUGCAAUACAUAUGGUCUUGCAUGGCACGGGAUGUACUAAUCGAAUUAAAGAAAAUCAAGAAAUUACACAUUGAACAAAAGAAGAACAAGUGAUGAUAUUAAUUACGAUGAAAAUGCUUGUCAUUGCAUACCGUACAAACAUCAAAGGUCUCGUCCAGCUUCACGGUGAAAACCUAUCAUUUUGCAGGUGAGGAAACCUGUUGCACAAACCCCGGUCAUCGUAGCAGUAAUGGCACUCCGGGAUCCUAUCGUCAUCAACCAUCUGUUGUGUUCAUAAUUCAAAGAUUAAACUUCUGAAUGUACAUCACGGGUUGACUUUCGGUCUGUCGAAUCUUCCUUGAAAACUCUCAUAUCAUGUGGUGUAUAUGGUGGGCACUCCCUCUCUGAUAUAUAUGACCGUCGGUGAUGGUCGUUCUUCUCUUCCUUCCCGUGCAUUACCAAAAGGUCUAUCACGAGAAAGAAGAGGAAGGACGACCCCCACGACAACAGUCGGCAUUCUUCUUCUCUCAUAUAUGGUGAACACUCCCUCACUAUUUUUUGACUGUCAUGUAUGGAGUCCCAAGAGACUUAAAGUCAACCCAAAAUGUCGUGUAAUGCUCUUUCCGGCAAAUCCAAGGCACUCGAUAUUUCCUACAUUCUAGCACAAGCCAUGCUAAAAUUCACAGAAAAAUCCAGCAUGACCUUUGCUAAAAAUGACAUAUAUCAACACUCCGGCAAAAUAUAGGCCACUCAGAAGUGUUCCCUGCAAACAUAGGCCACUUGGGCAAGCACAUAUCCUAUUUGGCUACAUCAACAUCAUCAUCGACAUCAAUGACAUGGGGAUUUGGCUGCUCUCACCUCAAGGUCGAAGGGGGUCAGUGACGAGGACGACGACGGGGCGCUCCUUGAUUUCCGCAAAAACAAAAUAUAAACCCUAUAAGCUAUCAACUAAACAUUAUUAUGCUGAUUCAAAAGACCUACAUUUACUAAAAAUUCAAUAUAUCUUAUAACCCGGAUAUUUCAUUUGGUUAAGAAUCAUAACUAAUGUUUCUUACUAAAAAUUUCUAUACCUAAAUUUUCAUACUAAAAAUUUACGUUACUAAAUUUCUCAUAUGGCAUUCCGAUACAUUUAUAUAUUGAAAAAUUUGUAUACCUAAACAAUUUCUAUUCAAAAGACAUAAAAUUUCUGUUACUAAAUUUGUAUACCUACAUUAGUUAAGAGAAGGGAUGGAGGGAGGGAGGGAGAGGAGGGGGGAGGAAGGAGGGAGGGAGGGACGAGGGGGAGGAAUAAGUGCCUCACUGGUGGUGGUACGCCGGCGACGGGCGAUGGCGGCGGGUGACGGUGGCGGCCGGGUGGUGCAGCGACGGCGGGGGGUGGUGGUGCGCGGGCGGCGGCGGCGCGCAAUGGUGACGGUCGGGCGGCGACCAGAGAGUGUCUUGGAGUGAGAGUGAGAGUGUGGUGAGGGAGAGUGGAAACGGGCGAGAUGGGGUAUAGGAUAAGGUGGUUUUAGCAGUAGCGCGGGAAGCCGAACAAGCGCUACAACUAAAAUUUUAGUUGUAGCGCGUUUAUGCAAACCGCGCUGCUACUAAAGCUAGACCCGGCGUGGCCGUGUGGCCCACUUAGCAGUAGCGCCUGACCAGUGAGAGCGCGCUACUGCUAAGUCUUACCUGUAGCAUGCUCGCUUUACCCGCGCUGCUGCUAGUUAGCAAGAGCGCGUCGUUCUAACAUGCGCUACUGAUAAUGCUCUGUGUAUAAGGUUUUCCCUAGUAGUGGCAUUGUUCUUCCUCUCAUAUUCCUCCAUAGUUUUUGUUGAUUUGGUGGGAUUUGGGAGUGAAGGACUUGACCACUUCGUGUGUUCUUGCCAUUGCAUUAGUUGCAUCGGUUUGAGUCCUCCACAGUGAUACAUGGAAGUGAAAGUUGAGAAGCUUAUUACUCUUGGGUGUUUGGGCACCCUAGAGCUUGUUCCUCUUGCGUGCUUUGGUGCCCUAGACGGUUGGUCUGUUCGGAGCUCAAUCAUUGUGGUGUAAAGCUCCGGGCUUGCGUCGGGGUCUCCAAUUAGGUUGUGGAGAUUGCCUCAAGGAAUUUGUACGGGUUCGGUAACCGCCCUCAAGGGUUGCCAUUUGUACAGGUUCGGUGACUGCCCUCAAGGGUCCCUUAGUGGAAUCACGACAUCUUGCAUUGUGUGAGGGCGUGAGGAGAUUACGGUGGCCCUAGUGGUUUCUUGGCGAGCAUUGUGCCUCCACACUGCUCCAAACAGAGAUUAGCAUCCGCAAGGGUGUGAACUUCGGGAUACAUCGUCGUCUCCGCGUGCCUCGGUUAUCUCUUACCUGAGCUCUUUUCUUACGCACUUUACAUUGUGAUAGCCUUAGUGAUUCAUGUUAUAUAUCUUGCUAUCAUUUAGUUGUUUAUCUUGCUUAGCAUAAGUUAUUGGUGCACAUAGGUGAACCUAAUUAUUUUAGGUUUUGUGCUUGACAAAUUAAACGCUAGUUUUAUUCCGCAUUUGUUCAAUCCCAAACCGUAAUUAUUUUAAAGUGCCUAUUCACCCCCCCUCUAGGCGACAUCCACGAUCUUUUAAGUGAGGAAAAACCUAGAGCCAAAGUGAUUGAGCAUCACUAAAGAGUUUGAUCUAUGUGAUCUGACGUCUGUUACCAUUGAAGACUGUCAUUCUUCCAGAUGGUUAGGCGUCAUGUUCUAAGCAUUUAAGAGUAAUUGUGGCGUGCCGGUGAACAAGUCUAUGAAGGUUUUGGAAGUCUACCUUGAAGACUUAGCACAAGUGAUUCGGCGAGGUCUGUUGUGACCUUAGCUCAAGAGGAAUACGGUGAACACUUAUUGUCUUCAGAGUUCAAUCUCAGCCGCCUCAACCAGAUGUACAGUUGAUACAACAACUGUAACUAGUCUACCAAAUCAUCGUGCCAUAACCGUGGCAACCUGGUUUUAAAUUCCUCAACCCCUUUACUUUUUGUUAUUCCGCUGCUGAAGAACCUAAAAUCUACUUUCUAAAGAAUUUGAACUGAAGACUUUCAUUAUGAUGCUUUUCAUUUCUUCAGUUCAUCUUGAGUAUGCCUGAUUGCUUGUAUGGUUGCACGUCCUUCACUUGCAUCUAUCUUGUAUGCAUGCUUUAUGUUUCUGUGAUGAACUAGUCUUGCUCUUGUCUCAAUUUCUUCACCGUGAUCUUCGCCAAAGUCUUCAGAGUUUGACGAAUUCUCAAAAUCUCCCAUUCACCCCCCUCUAGGAGUAAACCUGUGAUUUCAGCAACCACUACCAGAAUUGCCGAGUUUGAUGAUUGUUUUUCGCCAAGCUCUCGUCAAAGAUCCUCUUAAACCAUGUGUAGGAAAAACACACUCUAAAAACCAUAGUAGCCUUGCCUACGACGAGUGUAGACGAGAAAAGACUUAGCAAACAGAAUACUCUUGGCAAACGAGGUGUCGUGUGUCCUUGCUCACCGCAGUUGUCGGCGUGACCUCGUUUGCCGACUUUCUUUUUGAACACUUGAUGUUGAUAUUCCAUGUAGUAUUUAUGCUUGGUGUUUAAGAGCAAGAGCCUGAAGUAGAAAUUAUUUCCCUUAGCUAAGAAAUUAUAUUACCAGUCCAGUAAGAACACACUAGUAGAAAAAAGGGCUUAGGUCACAGGGCAGUUUUCACAUUAGCCCCGGUUCAGUCACGAACCGGGACUAAUGUGAGCAUUGGUCCCCGUUCAUGAGCCCAGGGGGCCGGCCGGGGCCUCGUGGGCAUUGGUCCCGGUUCGUAUGGACCCUUUGGUCCCGGUUGGUGGUACAAACCGGGACCAAUAGGCCACGCUCCUGGCCCACCAUCCUUUAGUCCCGGUUCAUACCACAAACCGGGACUAAAGGGCUGGUCCUAGUUGCGGCCAGUAUUUAGUCCCACCUCGCCAACCGAAGGGCGCUCACACCAGUUUAUAAGCCCGUCCCUCUAUGCCUUGUUGAGCUUCUAUUAAAGUGAAAAUAGAUGCCCUUAUACAGGAAAUUUAUAGUAAGGAAAUUAAUAGAACUAGUUUGUUUUUUUAGUUAAAGCAAUUAUUCCCGCAUCGACAUCGACGAUGCCUAUCCCGCAUCCUCGUCGUCGACUCGGCGGAGGAGGCCGGCUUGAUCAGAGGGGCCAUGUCCGGGACUGGGCUCCGCCGGGCUGGUUUUGGGAGGUGCUACCUUCCGGUGGGCGUAGGUUGGUGAGGAACCAGCCCGUCGUUGAUCCGAUCCUUGUUUGGUGGCGCUCGCGUGGGUCAGUGACGGUGCCGAGGCUUCCGGACACCGCGGAGGUGGUACGUCACCGUGUCAGCGAGGAGGACCAGCACGUCCGUCGCUACAUGGUUGCGUUGGAGGGCAGGUUCGACAAUACCUGGCAGGUUCUUCAGGGAUCUCACUGAAGCUAUGAUCCUGUGAUGGUUCCGUCCCUUUGGGUGUCCACCGCCCGCGCCGAUACCCGUCGGGCGCUACUGUUCUAGCUGUACUAGCGAUGCUAUAUGUAUGAUAGUAUUCGAGGUGUAUUAGUGAUAAUAUUCGGCGAUGUACGGACGCAUGGAGAUGAUGUAGUUUUGCUUAUAAUUGAAUGCAUCCUAAUUUGAAUACUACUUUAUUUUGUGAUUUGAUUUUGCUUAUUGAAUGCUCAAAGUGGAAAACUACUCCGAUCAUACUUUGAAUGCUAAAAUUGGAGAGCACUAUGAUUAGUUGAUAGCUUAUAGGGUUUUUGUUUUCGCAGAAAUCUAGGAGCCCCCCCGGCCCCUCCAUCAUCCCCGCCGUCGUCCCCGUCACCGCCCCUCCGACAUCGAGGUGAGACCAGCCAAAUCCUCUUUUAGAAAGAUAAUUAAACGAUAUUUCGGGUUGACUGUAAGUCUGUCGAGUCUCCACCAUAUAUGAGAGGACGAAGAAUCCCGACUGUUGUCGUGGGGGUAGCUUCUCCUUUGUUCCCGUGUGCUAGACAAUUUGGUGUAAUGCACUCGAGAACGAAAGGAGGAGCUACCAUCACCGAUGGUCGCAAAGGUCAGAGAGGAAUCAGUGAGGGAGAGUUCCACCAUAUAUAUAUAUGAGAGGACGAAGAAUCCCGACUGUUGUCGUGGGGGUCGCUUCUCCUUUGUUCCCGUGUGCUAGCUAGACAUUUUGGUGUAAUGCACACAGGGACAAAGGGAGGAGCGACCAUCACCAACGGUCGAAUGUAUACACCACGUGAGCUGAGAGUUUUCAAGAAAAGACUCGACAAACCGAUAGUCAACCCGUGAUGAAUAAUAAUGAUCUAACUUAGGUUUUUUAGUACAUAUAUUUAAUUGUAGAUGUUUAAUAUUUGAAUUAUAUAUGAACAUAGGAAAUGUCGUACUCGGACGACGAAAGUCUCCCGGGGGAGUGCGACUGGUGCCACGACGACCGAGGUCAGUGCGACAGGCCUCACCUGGACGAAGAUCGGCGCUUCAGUAUUAAGCUGGAGGAGACGUUCGAUGUUGAAAUGGUACGCAACGACGACAAGUGUUAAUUUUUCGUAAUUAAGCACGACUUCAACUAUUUCAACGUGUACUUUUCAUCUUUUACAAUUCGGCUAGCUUAUCAUGCCAUGCAAGACGCUACGUCUUGGAGAGGAUGGGUUUUGAAGACCAUGAAAGUAUGGAAACAAAGAAAAUUCACCUAAGGACCCAUCAUGAUAUAGAUUUUGAAGUAAAGCUGUAUAAUUCUGAGAGCGUAACCCAUUUUGGUUGCAAAAAUUGGGAAGCAUUUUGCAAGAUGUAUGGUUUUGAUGAGGGUAUGCUUGUCACCAUGGAUCUUGGUGAUCCUGACAUCGAGCAAGACAAUAUGGACAUUUGGGUCCUUGUUGAUACGCCUCCAAUUCUACCGCUAUGUGAGUUUCUCAAACAUAGUUAUUAGCUAAUUUAUAUUGUUCAUUUCAAAAUAGUUGACAGCUUAUUUUCAUUGACAGCUUAUUUUGAUUGUUCAAACAAUGUGCGGAACAUGGUAGACAGAACCUACUACACCGAUGGCUCUGAGUUAACUUAUAAGGAGAAAACUCAUCUGGUCGGAUUUUGUACUGAUAUUGAGAAUUACAAUAUCUACAAUCAAACUCCUCAUCAUUAUGGUCCUCCAUACGUGCCACUAGUGCACGUGUUGAACUACGGUAACUACUAUGGAGAUACCCUGGUAAGAUUUCUUACUAUUACGACAUCCGUGCAUAUUUUGCAUAGUUCUAAAACUAGUGCAUUAUCAUUGCUAACUAUGAAGUUAUUACUAUGUUUUUCAAUAGAUAAUCCCAGAGGAUUGUGUGCCUCAUUUGAUGUAUCAGAAUGGUAGGCUUGAUGUUUUGAAUAUACAACCAGGUCAUCCUACAAAUCUCAACUGUCCAUACCGAAUUUCUAAAAGAAGUGGAGACAUGCAAAUCAAAGAAUGGAAAAAAUGUAUGGACAAUCGCAAGGAGCUUCUUGGAAGCAAAAGGAAGCGAGGCGCAAGAAUUGGAGACAGGAUGAUCUCCAUUCUCCAUAAUGGAGAGUCAGGGUCUAUAUUGUUUUAUGCUAUUUUACCUUAAAGAGGGUAUUUCGGUCCUACCUAAUACUGAUGAUCAUGUGCUAAGAACAAUUAAGUAGGGUUGGUUCGAUGACUGUGAGGAUGAUGAUCGUAUGACUUGUUAUUAAUAACGAAUAGAAGUUGUAUGAUGAUGAUUAGUAGGACUUGUUAUUAUAUAUGAUGAUGCAUGAUGCGUGCAUGAAGAGUUAUUAUAUAUCAGCGGGUGAAAUGAACAUGGAUUGGAUUGAAGUGAAGGCAACAUGCAUGUGGUGCGUGUCGAAAGUAGUACAAUCCAAACUUGAUCAAGUCCGGAUUAGUAUUACUUUCGACAUGCACCACAUGUUGCCUUCACUUCAAUCUAAGCCAUGUUUAGGCAUAGCAGUACGUAGCGUUGGUAAACCAAGCACGGAGAUAUAAGAGAGGACACUUCUCUCUAAUAGCUACCUAAUAACAACCUAAAUUAACCCCCCAAAACCCCCAACCCCCCUCCCUUUCAAAAAAAAAACAAAAACCUCAGCUCCUGCCAGGUGCUGACGCGUGGAUGCCUAUUGGUCCCGGUUGGUGGCACCAACCGGGACCAAAGGCCCUCCUGCCUGGGCUCCCCGCACCGGCCACGUGGACGGCCUUUAGUCCCGGUUCGUGUAAGAACCGGGACUAAAGGGCUAGGGCAUUAGUAACGACCCUUCAGUCCCGGUUUCAGAACCGGGACUAAAGGCCCUUAUGAACCGGGGUAAAAGCCCCUUUUCCUACUAGUGACACUUGAGAUGCAUUUAAUGAUCACUACAUGCAUACAAUUAGAAAAAUUCUAUUUGGUCCCCAAAUUAGAUAGUGAGAUUGUCAGUCUCCCUAGACUUGCUAAUAACAAGGAUAAGCCUAUCACAUGGUAGGAAUUGAUAAUUGCAUGUAAAUAAAGAAAUGAUUCAGAAUGUAAAGACCAAAGAAAGAGUUCGAACAAGUAAAUAUAAAUCCGAUCAUAAAGUGACAAUUGAUUACAGCAAAACAAACACACAACACUAUGGGGCUGGCGAGCUAUGCACCUGUGGUCCAUUUAUCUUUGGGGAGGAGUAUGUUGGCUUCUCUGGCUUCGGAUCUGUGGCUUCGUGAGGUGGGCAUGGUGGUCCCUUUGUGGCAGGUGCCACCAUCCAGGUGUUCUUUGUCUUUUUUUUCGAUAAAACGGAAACUUUAUUCAUUGGAAAUAAUUAGUACAUCGUUUGUGAGGAUCAUAACAAUUUCAUUAAGAGGCUGCUAAAACCAAUCCGAAGUCAAAGAAAAUCUAGCUAAUCUAGCGAGUUCAUGGGCUACUUUAUUUACCCACCUCCAGGUUGUCCGAGUUAAUAGUUGGGCGAUUACAUCCCACCCUCUACGCCAGUGUUAAGAUAACCCACAUGGGAGGCACCUGUGAGUGGGAGUUGGCAUGCAGGCAGCUCCUUGGGGAAUUCGUCUUCAUCACUAACCUUUUUCCUUGUAGAAGACUGUGGGUGGUAGGACAAUCGUUCCCAAGCGAAAGCUUUGCACGACGUCGUCAGUGCCAGUGACGCUGACGCUUUUGAGUGCCGUCCCCUUCUUGGAGGCAUCACCUUGGGUUGUCUCCUUCACCCUGGGCUUUGGGUAAAAACACUUGCUCCGACAUGUUGGACCAGGCGGCGGAGGCACUAUGGUGUCGUUCCUUCCUUGAAGGCUCUGUUGUGUGAGCUAGUUCCCUUCUUGCCCAAGGUUAGGGUGUGUUUGUGGGCAGUAGCUAAUUCUCUUCGCAUUGAUGGUCUCGUGGCUGUGACGGUGCUCUUUAGGCGAGCUACCUCGGCGAGAAGUUGUGUUCGGAGUCCUUCUCCUUGGGUUCGACAGGCUCUAGGUGAGGUUCUGCAUCAUUCGACGAUGCGGCGCCCUUUGAUCCAGCGCGAGGGGCAGGGGUCUCGGCGAUGGAGCUGGUUCGGGUGGUGGUGCUUGGCCUCCAUGUGUUGGCGAUGACAUGGCUUCCUCUGUCUACUAGUCUCUCUCUCAAGUUGUCUCCGUUCUUCUCUCCGUUUUCCUAAUCGUCGAUGAUGGCUCUGAGGACUCCAUGCAGUGCUCAAAUCUUUCUUUUGUUGUUUGCUUGUUGUUUUCUCGGGCUUUGUUGUUAUCCUUGGCACCUUGUAUCUUGCCGUUUUCUUGUUUAUCUUUAAAGUUGGCGAAAGCUUUUUUUGAUGUACAUAGCCUAGAUGCUAAAAGAAAAAGUAGAAAUAAGAGAAGAUGGGAAGAUCUUUAAAUCAAGGUAAUUGUGUUAAUCAUCCCCUCCGUAUGGCUCUAACUUAAGCUAGUUGAUCCUGGACAAUUCCAACACUAACAUUUAGAUACGAAUGUGUAUGAAUUUUUGGAUUUUUACUAGCAGGUGCCGUGGCACCCGGGAGCCAAAUGUAUAGAUCUGCAUGGUACUCAUAUACUAUUGGAUACAAGAUAAUACUUCCAAAUUUUGAAACUGUUGGAGAAAAGUUCACAAUGUAUUCAAAAAGAGGUCCCACGAGACUAAAUAUAUUUUGCCGCACAGUACCAUGCAUUGUCAUUUGACUCAUUUGGAUAUCCACUAGUACCAUCGAGGAACACAAAGCCCCCGGCCUUCUUAUGCAAGCUAGCUAGUACAUAGGUAGAAACAGAGGAGUGGUAGUUUGAGGAAUGCAGGCUUCUGGAGUUGUAUAUAACGAUUACACCUUUAUUGAAUAAACAGAUCUGGAUUUUCAAUCUGAAGUAGACACGCAUAAAAAGUUAAAUGGCCGAUCAGAACGAAUAAAUAGCCAAAAGAACAACGCAAAAGAAUUACUACAAGGAUGCCGGCGCGGUGGUGCAAUGAGUCGAGUGACAACUUUUCAUUGGUUGGCUGCCUGGUUGAUAUCAGGGAUGUCCUCCUGGUCUGGCCCCUCUUCGCCAUGGAUGGCGUUCCCACGAAAGCCGGCGUGGGAGACCAAUGCCCACAGGUGUGUGAUGAGCUCACUGUCGCCGGCAAGAUGCCUCCCGUGGGUGGCUGCCCUCGUGUUCGCGGCCAAGUGGAGGAGGAACCCCGUCCAGAAGUUGGCCAGGUCGCUCCACAGGCCUUCUGCGUGGCCUUCAUACACCUUUAUCAGGUGCUUCCCUAGCAUUGCACCCAUCCUUGUUAUGGAACACCCAAUGUGGAGGCCUCCAUCGUCUUCUUUUUCUCUCACUUGCUCUGGUGUUACUGGUUCCACGUCAGGGCCCCAGCCCCAGCUCUGAUGGUGAUCAGUGUUCUCGCAGGGCUUGUGGACUGUCUCCAUAAGGCCAUUGUACACAAAUAUGAAAGGUAGCUUGCCACGCCCCCACUGGCGAUUGAAUUUGGAUGUAACGUGGUCAAUUUCUUGGAUUACCUCACCAAGGACCAUUCCGGCAACAAUGGGAUUAUCCGGCACCAGAUCCUUGCUGACCAGAUACGUACAAUAGUUGGAUAAGGUGGCUGCAGUUGCAUACUGCUCAGACCACACAGAUUCAUAGUUUUUCCUUUUAUUGCGAAUUCCAUUUGGACCGUCGACGAAAGGCCGCGGUCGCUGCACAGCCCUGAGCUUCUUGACCGUGUUGAAGAAGUUGAUCUCACAGAGGCUGGUGGCGAUAUGCCAGACCAGUAUGAUGUGGGUGUCUACCUUGAGGUUUCUUGGCCACUCCACCACCUUCUCAUUUGAUCUGAAGGCGUUUGAGAAGUAGUUAUCCAGCGCUAGCCCUUCCUUCUCCAACUUCUUGAGCGUAUCCAAUAUCGCAAUCUUGGUGUAAUCUUUCAGGGCGGUUGUUCCAACAGUUUCCCCUCGACAGAGUACCAUCCUCCAUGUGAGCGGAGGCAGCACACCUGCUGGCUUUAGCACACGGAAUGUAACCAGAAGGUUCUGCUGACUGACCGUCUGAAUCCAUUUGGCUUUGCUGCCGAAAAACAACAUGAACCUCAUUGCCAUCUCCACCAUCGGACGCCGCAAGCACUGAUGCUGGACGUACUUGCACAACAUCAGAACCUUUGCCCACCGUGACAGCACAUAGAGAAAAAUCUCCAAGAGCUCCUUGAGAACGAUGAUGCCGACCAUGAGGCGUGUGAUGAACACGCCGUGUGUGAUCCUGUUCCGGUCUGCUGGAUCCAUCCUCUCGGGUAUGUAUCGGGCAGGAUACGCAAUGUAUCCCGUCGCCGCCGCCAAGGACAGCGAGAGCAGCAGGCUCCGGAGUGGAACCAUGGCUCCGCCGGCAAACACCGCGGCGUGCUUGCUAUAGAAGAGGUCUUGGAGGAAGGACAGCUCGACCCCUGUGAUGCGGAACGCCCUCUCGCAGUCCUUAAGGAUGUAGUCGAUGACGAGCUUGCGGAUCUUGUUUUUCCCCUGCGGCCUAGUGAGUUCAUGCACCGGGAGAUCAUAGAACCGACGGCGCAGCAGCUUGUACAUCGCGAACGAGAGGCACAGGUCCUUGCGCUGGUUGCCAGGGUCUGCUGUGCUUGCGCCUCCCAACAAUCUGCUCUUGCUGGUGUCACGCCAUAGCUUCUCCACGGUGACCAGGUGAUCCUUGUGGACACCAUCUGGAUCCAACUGAAUCUUGUAGCUCCUGUUGGACUCGAUUAUUAUUCUCUCCCUUCUGAAGCAAGAAGAUAGUCUUCUUCUUCCCUCCCGCCGGCCCUCUUGUACUUCCUUGAGCACCCGGUGCUCCCCAUGCACCAGGUACUUGCACCCUGCCAUUUCUGACACCUCCUGCUCAUCAUCAGAACCACCAGCUGCAGCAGCAAGAGCAGGGAGAUGGUCCUCAUAGCUCAUGUAGUCGCUCACCAGCCUCAUGCUCUCUUGGUUUUCAGUCUCCCCUUUACUUGAGGUGACGAAGAGCACGAUGAUUCGAACUGCAUUAAGCGCCCAGAUCAACCAGAGGGGGAUCCUGAGGAGCUCAAAGGUCUGCACCCGGAGGAGAUUGGCUGACCAGAAGGAGGACAUGAGGUCCAGCAAGGGGACCUGCUUGGACCUGGUGUAGGGGCGCCCGAUCUUGACGCUGUACUGCAGGGUGACCAGCAGAACCGCCCACACCUGGAAGUAGUCGUUCACCCUCGCGCCCGAUAGCUGCAUCAGUCCCAUGGUGUACAUCACCAAGUUCUGGUUCAGUAUCUCCAUGGUGACGACAGUAAACAUCCUGCUAGGCUUCCCAAACCAUGGCCCCGAGAAGUCGAGGAGGAACCUCCACACCAAUAGCACUGUCGUCACCAGCACCCACAGCUCCACACUCGCAAUGUGAGUAGCGAUGUCCAGCAUAAAGAGCUUCUCCAAGGUGAGCAGGAUUGUUGCAGCAGCCUUAGCCUUGGCGGAGCUCAUCCUCCUCCCCCUCCUCUUUCUCUGUGUGUGUGUGUGUGUGUGUGUGUGUGUGUGUGAACGCCCUUACAGUGAGGAAUGGAACUCUCCAAUCAUGGUGGAUAGGGAGCUCAGUGAACGCAUCUGAUGAAGCGCUCAAACAGUGGCCCUCACUCAACGCAUAUGUUUGUGUUUGAGCCCGUGAUGCGUGCUUUGCUUUACUCCGAGAUGCCUCCGCUCCCUUGACUGUCAAACGGGGCCUGAGAGGUGGGGUCCGGUCAAAAGUGCGCAUUCUGAGGGCGGGCCAUGGGUCCUCCGCCUCGCGCUUUUCUUCUUUUUCUUUUCAUUCCUUUUAUGUGUCAGUUUGUGGUCGCUGGCUAUGAACCUCUCUUUUGCCACCGCUGUUAGAGCAUCUCCAGCCUCAAGGGGCUCCAAAAAAUCAGGCGAACCGGUGUUAAAAAAAUCAGGCGAACCGGUGUUAAAAAUUAGCUUGGGGCGAGUGGGUUCUCAGCCGCCGCCACCCAGGGCCGCCUCUAGUCGCCGUUUUUAAAUAUUUUUGAAAAUAAAUUCAGCUAAAAUUCGGCAAACAUUACAAAGAUUCAGCAAACAGGACAUAAAUUUCUGCGUUCUACUUUUUUUUUACAUAGAAAAUUAAAAUUACUAAAUAAAAAACUCGCUGAGCGCGGCGUAGUCACCGUCCGCCACCGUCGCCUCCGUCGUCCUUCUCCUUCUUCACGCUGCUGCUGGACCCCCUACCCGGGGUCGCCCAAACGGACAGGUUUGGCUGGUGGCGGCGCGUCGUCGUCGCUGUCUUCAUACACGAUGACGCCCCCUUCCUCGCGCCCGCGGGCAGGGCGCGGCGCUGGCGCUCCAUCUCCAGCCGCGCCCAGUCUUCCCGCGCCCACUUCAUGGCCGCCUCGUCGUCGAGCUCCGGCUUCGUCUUCACGGCGGCGAGACCCGGCUCCGUCUUCACGGCGGCGAGCCCCGGCUCCGUUUUCGGCUUGACGAAGCGGGGAGGAGCCGAGGAGGAGGCACGCCCGCCCUCGUUGAUGACGAUGCCAGCGUUGUGGGUGCGCCGGCCGAGCGGCAUUUCCAUGGGCUCGGUCUUGACGCUGAAGAGCGCCGGUGAGCCAGAGGAGUGGGAGGAGGAGGAAGAGGAGCCGGUACGUCAGCGGAGGCUCGUUGCCGUCCUUGAGGUGCUCGAGGAUGACGUGUUGCGUGCGGCCGGGGGCGCCCCACCAUAGGCGGCGGCCGUCGCUAGUUUUGGUCCCCUGCACCACCGGCGCGUUGUUAGUGGAGGCCACCCGCUCCGCCUGCCGGCGUUCAAAAUAUGCCGCCCACGCCGCAUGGUUGCCGGCGUCGUACUCCGGGAGGGCCCGCUGCUCCUCCGUCAGAGACGCCCGCGCAUGCUCGAUCUCGGCGCGGAAGUAGUCGGGGCGCGUGACGUCGGGCAGCGGGGGACGGGGACGCCCCUGGCGUUGAGCCUCCACCGCCCCUUCGCGCGCAUGUCGGGAGGCGUCGGGUAGUUGGCUUCGUGCAGGACAUGGGCUUCCCACUCGUGCAGAGAGCAGCGGCCCAAGCCAUUCGCCGCCGCCCCAUCGCCGUGGAACCUUUCGCCCAUUGUCUGCGGUGGCUGUGAAUGGGGAGGGAGAGGAAAGAGAGGGCUCGUCGGCGGUGGCUGUGCAUGGGGAGAGAGGGGCUGCGGACGGGUGUGUCCACCGGCGAGGGAGGCGCCGCUUUAUAUAGCGGCCGGGGGGUGGCGCCGUGUGUACGCGUGGCGGGGAGAGGGCGCGUCGCCGCACAGCGCCGCCCGUGAGGAAUCAAUGGAAGGCUGACCGGCGGCAGCCUUGGCAUUGAUUCCCGGCUGGAAACCGAGGCGAUGUGUGGACGGCGAGGCACGGGUCACUGACUCGGCGGGCCCGCCGUUCUUUCGCGCCAAAACGAUCACCCCGGCGCCCCGCAACGCGCCGGGUUCGGCCUGGGUCCGCCGACGCCAGUUUCGACCCUAACCGCCGAAAACUGUGCUCCUGGGGCGCGACUGGGCCGUUUUUUGGGCACCGGCGCAGAAAAGGGAUCUGGGGGACCUGUUGGGGACGCGGCGGGAGAUGCUCUUAUCUCUCAGGCAUUGAGAUUUUUAGUACUAAAAUGACCCUUGGAGAAGCUUAAUUCGGUCACUGACUCCUAAGAAACUUAUUGCGGAAUCAGGCACCCAUUUGUGCCUAACCUUUAAGCGUCUAACUUAACCGCCUUAAAACAUCUACAACCGGAGUCCUCAGACACUCUCAAUACAUUUGGGCGAACGGCUGAAUCACCGCAUGGUCACUUUUUCGCCAAGCAUCCACCUGACCUCAAAUCAGCCCGGCCUAUACGUCCGGUUUAACUGGCAAUCCCCGUACCAAACCCAUAUCUGUGCUGGUGCCCGAACGCGUCGGCCAUGUCGAAUCCAAUAGGCCGGACCCAUCCCAAACUCACUCCGAAUUGAUCAAGUCCACCAAACUGGCCGCCCUCCUCUAGCGUUCAUCCUCCAUUUCCCGCACCCGAGCCAUCCCCCUCCUCCACCCUUGCUCCCUUUCUAUGCCACCACACGCGCCCGCCGUCCAGGGCCGACCGCCAUGCUCUGUCCGAAGGCUUCCUGUUGCGAGAAGAGACGCGAAUAUGAAGACCCACCGACCGUCGUCCGCCGCACAGAACUUUACCUGUCGGCUUCCUCCCGUGGGCUACAGGUGGUUAGAAGGGAGGAGAGGCGGCGACGGCGACUAGGGUUUCGGCGAGCCGCCCCCUUGAAGCAGAGCAAGCAUGCCUUUGUGAAAGUUCUGCUCACCUACAGUCUCCAUUGAAUUUCCUAUUUUACUAUGCUUUCAUGUACUCUCAUUCAGCAACUUUAUCAAUC